GGCCUUCAGAAGAUUGGAAAGUCAUUCUUCCUUUCAUUUUCAAUUAGACGCAACAGUGUUUCCCUGCAUUUUGAACCAAAUAAAGAAGGGUUAAAGAGAUUGUAGGUAGGAAUGAAAAAAUGAGGAAGGUUGGAUGUCUUCAGGUGUUCGAUGAAGUCAUCCACCAGCUGAAGAAAGCAGGUAUCAAGUUCUUCAAAAGGCCACAAUUCAUCUUUAGGUCUUUUGACACACGCAUGCAGCAGCGUUGUUUUUGCAUGGUACGAACAGACAUUUGCCAGAAUGCGAGGAUUCUUCUCCUUAAGUUUUUGGAUGAGGUUUUUCAAAAGCUUCAGACAGGGCUUCCUGUGAAAAAUUAAAGCAGUUUCAGUCUACAUUUUUUUCUGUGCAACUUUCUGCUCACCUUGACUUUGAUUCCUCAAGUGGUAUUUUCCCUCUUGCCUCACACGUAACCCACCAUUCUUAAUAGAUCAGCCAGUGAGGAUCCAGCUCCACCCAGAUGGAGGGUCAAAGCGGAGUACUAUCAUCUGUACCCAAGGCAGCUGAAGAAGCCUAGCAUCUGUGUUAGAUGAAGACAACUCACAAUAAGUCAGAAAGGGCCCAGAUGAUUGGAGAGGUACCUGACAUCAGGUUCUAAGAUGAUGACGAGAGAACCCUCACAGGAGGAGGCCGGGAUCCAUCCUUCAUGGACACAGAGAUACUCAUGUUGUGCCAACUCAGUAUCAGUGGGAUGACCAUGGUCCUGGUGGAGAAACAGCCUGGACAAGGAGAAGCCAUCUCCUCAACCUGUGUGGGGGGAAGUAUCACCCCCUGCCAGCUCAGAUACCAACACCUCGGGGAGAAAGUCACAUUUUGAAAGUUUGGGAGCACAAGCUGGUGAGCACCUCACUUCAACAACUCCACUGCUGGUCAGGUAGCCGCUCAGUGCCAGGCAGGAGAGGACCUUGUGGUGUGGGUAAUCAGAGAAUUUGUCCACGUGCACAGGGAGGAGCAGGAAGUAGCAAAUGGGUAUGUGGGAUGCUGCAGGAGUUCAGCUACACCGUGGGGGCCCAAGCACCAAAAGUAAGCAGUCACCUGGCUGACCCCAUGGACAUGUUAGAGAGCUGGAUCCAGUAGUCUCAGGGUCUGCUGGAGAGGUGUACACAUCUACACUCCAUUGCCUCAGUCUUCAGGGGAGUUUGUGAGAGAGUCUAGGAUCAGAGGGCGUAACCUCAAAAUAAGGGACGUUUAAGACAGCACUGAGGAGAAUUUUUUCUCUCAGCGGGUAGUGUAUGUAUUAAAUUCUUUACCACAGCUGGCUAUUGAGGCUAGUCCAUGAAGUAUAUUAAAGACUUAAACAGUUUUUUAAUCAAUAAGGAAUUCAAAAGUUACAGGGAAAAUGCAGGAAAAUGGAGUUGAGGAUUAUCAGAUCGGGCAUCCCUUGAAUGGCACAGCAAAUGGUCUAUUCCUGCUCUUACAUUAUAAGUUCUCUAGUUUGUACCAAAACACACUUAACUAUGAGAAAUUCUAAGAAAUGUUUCUGGGUGUCAUUAAUAUGGAGUUCCAGAAGGCAUCUGAUCUUAUUCCUCAUAAGAGAUCUAAAACAGAAGACAAAUAACUGACAUGAUUAGGAAAUUUGUGGGAAAGGUGGAUUGGCCAUGCUAGA